UACGGAGGGUGCGAGCGUUAUUCGGAAUCACUGGGCGUAAAGGGCGCGUAGGCGGCCUGGUAAGUCAGGGGUGAAAUCCCACGGCUCAACCGUGGAAUUGCCUUUGAAACUGCUGGGCUUGGAUCCUGGAGAGGGUGGCGGAAUUCCUGGUGUAGGAGUGAAAUCCGUAGAUAUCAGGAGGAACACCGGUGGCGAAGGCGGCCGCCUGGAAAGGUAUCGACGCUGAGGCGCGAAAGUGUGGGGAGCAAACAGG
rnacentral:rRNA from 1 species